rnacentral:misc_RNA from 1 species
AGCUGUCAAUAAGAAUUCAUGAAAAUAUUGCACAUAAGUUUUAAAAAUCCCAUUUCAUGUAAGAAGAAAUGUUCCGAUUUGGGUGAUUGGAACACAAGAGCACCCUGGCGCAUGGGAGUGCUCCCGGGCCCUGCCGCUCCUCAGAUGCACGCCCAGGAAGGGAGUUCCCGAGGGAGGCUGAUGGAUACAGGCAUGCGUGUUGGAAAGGCAUAUCAAGCAGAGAUUCCAAAUAUGUUGCCAUCACAAGAACGCCGGCCAGAGCAGUGUCCAGAAAGAGCCUUGUUAGUGUGGGCUCCUAAGCUGGAGAUCAACGAAGAGAGUUUGGAACAGUACAUCUGGUUGGCAAAGGACAAAUACGGGUACAAUGCCGAGCAGGCACUGGGCAUGCUGUUCUGGCAUCGUCAUGACUUGGAGAAAGCAACAGCAGACCUUGCCAACUUCACGCCCUUCCCUGAUGAGUGGACGACCGAAGACAAGGUCCUGUUUGAGCAGGCCUUUCAGUUUCACGGGAAAAGCUUUCAUCGCAUAAGACAGAUGUUACCAGACAAGACUAUAGCCCAGCUAGUAAAGUACUAUUAUCUGUGGAAGAAAACUAGACAACGAAGUUCUCUAAUUGAUCGACAUGCUCGCAAACACACUGCAAAGCUCCAGCAGGCUACAGAAGGUGGACUGGGAGAUAGCAGCGGAGAUAGAUCUGAUGAAGAUGAGGAGGGACGUGGUGGGGAGGAGACCAAGAACUGCUCGAACUGCACCAUCCCUGCGACCAUCCUCAACGAGUCUCCCAAGGGACCUCAGUGCCAGACGUGUUACAACCACUGGAAAAAAAUGGGGUGUCUGCGGCCAACUGUAGGGCCCAUGAAGAGAGAUAAACAGCUCAUCAAGCACAAGCGACGACCACCUCGCGGCAUGCACAUAAACCAUGAGGACCUUAUGGCUAUGGUGGCCCCUGCCCCCCCAGGCCCCCUAGGUGCCCCUACCCAAGGCCAGCAGCUACUGCGACACAUGGAGAAUGAGGUCAUUGCUCUCAAACGCCAGGUACAGAGUAACAAGGCACAGAUCAGCAACUUGCGAGAAAAUCUGGCCAAGGAUGGUAUCAAUUCCCUGAGGCCACCAGGACAAACGGGGCCACUGAAGGCCAAAUGGUCGCAUGAGGAACUUCUACUGGCUGUGCAAGCUGUACGAUAUUUUGGAAAGGACUUCAAAGCCAUCGCCGAAAUUGUAGGCAACAAGACAGAGAAUCAUGUGCGGAGCUUUUUUGUGACUUACCGCAAGCGUUACAACUUGGACAAUGUUCUGAGAGAGUGGGAAGAGGAGCACGGUCCGGUCCGAACCAGUGCAGACGAAUAGUUGCGACUUUGCAUUUGGAAAGCAUUGGAAAAUGCCCGCCCAUCGUGUCAACGCCAGCUCCAGCAUGUGGCUGCCGAGAGCUGGGUCAGAAAGUCCUCUUUUCAACUCUUCAGGACAUGCGCAUUUUUGGCCGGGAUGUUCAUAUUUCAAAAUGAUUUUUGGAAAUUCUUAGGAACACACCAGGUUGAAGUCUAGGUUGAUUAAUCUACUUAAUCACAUGCAGCCCUAGGAUAUUACUAUUUUACUUCAGUCUGUCAUAAGGUGAUCGUAAAAUGGUAUUGCACAUAGUUCCUUGUUGGACACAUGAAAAUGACUAGUGUACAAAUUGUAGAGGUUAAGUAUGCCAAGUGUGAAUUAUCUUUGCCAAUUUUUUCUUGAUGUAUAUAUCAGCAAGUAAUAGUGAAGAGAAAGAAAUGAAAAUACAAGAGUCUUCUUUUUUUCUUUCCCUUUUUUUCAUUUCUUUUUUACAUAUUUAUUUUGAUAAAAUUACGUAUUUUGCCAUUUCUUUUAAAGUGUAUAUUUUUUUGUGUAUGCAUGUGUGUGACAAAGUCAGUGAGUAAGGAAAACUCUGCCAUCUUUCAUAUGUGUUGCCAAGUAAUUAAGACAUUUUCCAAAUAGUGCCAGUCUUUUUUUUUUUUUCUUCUUCUUUUUUUCUUUUUUGACACUUAUUUUACUAAACUUUAACGCCUACAUUUGUGCCUGGCAGUCAACCGAAGAUUACUGCAACACUUGGUCUGAUAAGAGGACUUACAUUGCAUUUGCUAGUCUAGAUGACAGAAGGCAGUAUUAUGAUGCUGAUGCUUUUCUUCUUUCUUCCUCAAGAAAAAGAGGAUAAUAAAAGAUACAGCCAGCAGGAGGGCAGUGAUUGCUCAGUUUUAUUAUGGUUGAGAUUGUGUGGUUGUGUCCUUAGUGCUGUCACUGCUUGCUUCAUUAAGACAAAGAAAAGAAGUUCAUCCACAUUUACCUUGCCUAGUCAUGGGUUAUUUUUGUGUACAGGUACCAUUAGCAUGGCCGUGAAAGCCAGGGAGUAGCACUGUCGACUGCUUUGCAACAGGAAUGCAUGCUGAUAAGUCCUGGACUCUCAGGAAUAUUUUAUGCUGCCUUCUACUACUUAUAUUUUAAGUGAGAAGAAUAAUUUUCAAGAAUGCAUUAAUUUGAGUAAAAGACAAAAGGGUCUUGAGUAGUCAUCCGAAACAGUUUGUAUUCUUUGUCUGUACGAUAUUGUAUAUAUUUAUUUGAAAUUUUGUGCUGUGCACAAGAACUUGAUUUCCUCGUUUGAUUUUGUUUUGUUGACAUUCAUCUUACAAGAUACCAGGCAAAAUCUGAAGCAAACUUUGCAUUUUGUUAAAGAUUUGUCAUAGUUGGAAUCUGUGAUAUGAAACAUCAUUGUACAUUAGCAAAAGCCAUCCUUACAUUGUCAAGACAAAUUUUAGUAGCAUAUUUAGUGCUUGUCAUUCAAAUUAAAUACAAUUAGAAAAAAUAGCUGUCAUGUCUAGAACAUUUCAUGAAGUGCUGAAUGAAGGGAUGCUUCUCCCUUAUGCAGUUUGAAGUGUGCAUCGUGCUGAAUAUUGUUUGAUUUAGACUGAAUUUUACACAAUGGCUUAAUGUUUCUUUCUUUUACUCUCCCUCCGUGCCACCCUCUCGCCCAACCCCCUCUACCCUCCCUCUUACCUGCUUCCCACUUCUCUUUCUUUAUAUUGAAAGAGACUUCUGCAACAUUUAUGCUUUGGUAGUGACUAUUUUGUUACUCUGUGAUCAUAGAUGUUCCCACUCCAGUUAAGUGAGAAUUCAGGUUUUUCCUUCUUUCUUUUUCUUGUUUUUUGAGAUCAUAGGUCAGAAAGUGAGAAGUAGGCAAAGACAGACAGACAGAAACAGACAGAGAAACAUUAGUAGUGGGAAUGCCUUUUAUAGCUUAGUUUGAAUUUUUUUUUACAGAUAACUACAUUGACCAAUGUUAUCCCAAUUAUAAGGAAGUUGCAGCUUUAUGGCUUCUUUAAAAAACACGAACCAAUAAAAGUCAUUAUAUUUUGACAAAACAUUACCAACAGGCUAGAAGGGGCUGUGUAAUAAAGAAGAUAAUUCUAAAACCUUUGAAAUAUACUGUAGUCAUCUCAGUUCAUAUGUAGCCAGAAGCAGUGCCCCUCUACCGUAACUAAAGAGUAGAGAGGUUAAUGUUCAGUGUUCAUGACAUAAGCCAUCAUUUGAACAUAAUAGGUUCCGUGACUUCAAGUUUAAUGUUACUUAAUCUCUUUUAAAGUGCUAUUCCUUUAGAAUUAUAUAUAAAAUCUUUUGAGUUUCCAAUUUUUACAAUCAUUAUCGUACAGAACAGGUCAGAUUAUAAAACUGAAGACACUGAGCUCGAGGAAAAGGGAGGGAUGCUAACAUUAUGUGUGAACCCUAACUUAGUUAAGGGAGAGGGGCAGAUAUGAAUUAAGGUGGCUAUAGCUCAUUCAUACUGAUAAAGAUAUGGAAGAGAUAUUGGAAACUGAGCCGUCUGAGUUUACUCUGGACAUUUACAUCACCACUGUCUAGGCAGAAAUCCUUGUUACUGGAACUCAGAAGUACAAGAAAACCAGCAUUGUAGAUGAUACUUAGAUGUAAUCAUAGUAACAGCCAUUUAUUCCUGUAAUGAAAACUUGCCUAGGUGUAAAAUGGAAAACUGUCCCUUUGUCAAAAGAUAUGUCGUCUGAACUCGAGUAUGGGUCGAAGUGAUUAGUUUGUGAAAAUGUGUUGGUCCCCUUUUUCAUGCUUCUACCUGUGGUUUCCCAUUUUGUUUCAUUAGUGUAAAAGUUGUAUCUUUAAAGCAAGAAUACAGACAGAUUGAUCAAAUUAUUUUGAAAGAAAAGCCAGCCCUCAGUUACAGUGUUUCAUGUCUUAAAACAAGUUAGAUAUAUAUUUAUUUUCUCAGGUGAAGUAGCUUAAGGUUAUCAGUAGAACAGCGAAGAACUAAAUGAAUUGUUCAUUUACUAGAACAGAGAGAUAGUAUAAUGAUGUUAUAAGACCAUGCCCUUUUUUAUUUGUUUGACUGUAUUUGUUAUCUGUUUGUUUAUAUUGAACAGGGAUAUUGAAGAUAAAAGAUAGAUAAAAGUGCUUAUGGUUUCAAGUCAGCUCUGCAUUAACCUCAUUGUAAAUAUACAUGUGAGAGUAUUUAUUUUAGAUUAUAGUCUGCAAUUUUAUUCAUAACAAUGUCACUGGGAUCUACAUGCUAGAUUUGAUUUGAUUUCCUGCUGAUUUGGAAAUUUGGAUAUUCAGAAUUACUAUGUUUCAGAGGGUGUAAGAUACACAGACAUGCACAUGUUGAUCAAGAAGAUGUGACAAUAUGUAUUUUAUUUUCUUCAAGCCAGAAGUAUUAUGGAAAGCUCACCAUCUGUUCUCAGCAAAGUGCUUUUUAGAAAUUCCUUCCUGCCUAGACCCAGUUAGAGUUUCCCCUUCUCUUUUCACAGAAGAAACUUCAGAGAAAAGUUUUAUUAAGUAUUUAUGCGUAAGAAACCAAGGCAGUCACUGAAACUAAUGAUGCACUUCAAUUCACCUUUUAACUAAUCUUCAGCUUCUGAUAUUGAAAUGCUGUCAAAUGCUCAUAAAAAGCAGAUGGCUUUGUCGCACCUCGUAAUAGCUCUUUACACUGCCCAAGUUAUUUUUAUAAGGGAUAACAGUUUGCUUUCUUUUAGCAGUUCUUCAGGAAAAGGAGAGAGCUCAUAGCAAAUACUCUUUGAUCAUAGUUUUUGUCCCCAGUACUGCUCAUGCUUAUUUUAUAAGUAUUAUUAUUAUUAUUAUUAUUUUGUUUUUAUUAUUAUUAUUAUUUUUAUUAUUAUUAUUUUUUUUUUUUCUAAAAAUUCAUCAGAAUUCACUGGUAAAUUUAUGGAAGUGACGCGGGCAAUUAGGAACACGUAUUUGCCACCAUUGAACUUAGAUUGGGAGGGGGGAUUUGUUCACUAUCAUUUAAAACUGACGAGUAUGAAACAUAGGAAAAAUUAAAGGUAAUUUCUGACAUGCAAGCAGCUGGUGAUGGUUUAUGUAUCAGAAUUACUCUUAGCAAAAAUACAUAGAUAUAAAGAGAAAAAAUACUAAGUUCACUUUUCUAUUUUUCUCUUGUUUGAACAAUAGCGUCUCCUUCCAGAUUAGUGUAUAGCACAUACUGUAGAUACUGUAUAUUGUAAGCACAGGUUUUCAUCUUAAAUUCAAUAUCUUUUCCAGUUUUGAAUAUACAGUAAUUUAAAGGACAUAAACUUUACAUGAAGUCAAAGAAAUCCAAAGUAUGAUUUAAGAUUGCAAACUAUCCACAGUUCCUUUAUAGUUCCAUUGUGUCUGAGGCGUAGUAUUAGCUUUGAAACAAUUAUAUUUGUUAGAAAUGGAAUCAUAUGCUGAGUAAUCUACAUCAGAGUCUUUGGAUUUCUACUCUAUUUUCAUAAAUAUUUAUCUGUGUCCAUUGAAAAAGGUGUUAUAUCUCCUCCCUGUGCUGAGUAGUGACAAAAGUAACUUAUAUACGUAACUGUUUGUGUUACCCUGUGUGUCCUUUGAAAGUAAGUCACGGUGUGUCUAACGAUUGUACAGAUUUGCAAAAUAAAUUAUGCUUGAAAAUAA